rnacentral:rRNA from 1 species
CCUACGGGAGGCAGCAGUGAGGAAUAUUGGUCAAUGGACGAGAGUCUGAACCAGCCAAGUAGCGUGAAGGAUGACUGCCCUAUGGUUUGUAAACUUCUUUUAUAUGGGAAUAAAAUGUUCCACGUGUGGGCUUUUGUAUGUACCAUAUGAAUAAGGAUCGGAGAACUCCGUGCCAGCAGCCGCGGUAAUACGGAGGAUCCGAGCGUUAUCCGGAUUUAUUGGGUUUAAAGGGAGCGUAGGUGGAUUGUUAAGUCGGUUGUGAAAGUGUGGGGCUCAACCGUAGAAUUGCAGUUGAAACUGGCAGUCUUGAGUACAGGAGAGGUGGGCGGAAUUCGUGGUGUAGCGGUGAAAUGCGUAGAUAUCACGAAGAACUCCGAUUGCGAAGGCAGCUCACUGGACUGCAACUGACACUGAGGCGCGAAAGUGUGGGUAUCAAACAGGAUUAGAUACCCUUGUAGUC